rnacentral:lncRNA from 1 species
UUUCAAUAUGUUCUAAAGGAAUUUCAUUAUUCAGACUUUCAAAUGCAUUUUCAAUCUGCGUCACAGGCCGACAAUUUGUAUGCUUCUCUGUCAGACAUUUAUUGCAUAGGACUGUUGCAUGCUGGUAACAAAAUGACGUCACAGAUUCAUUUUCAUGAACUUGGCACAACUGCUGUGUUUCCAUGAUGUGUGAGAGAUUUCUAUCUUAAUGACU